rnacentral:rRNA from 1 species
GUCUACGGCCAUACCAUCCUGAACAUGCCCAAUCUUGUCUGAUUUCUGUAGCUAAGCAGGUUCGGACCUCGUUAGUACUUGGAUGGGAGAAAAUAGGUAAGAGACC